AAAUACUGGACUAAACUAAGUGCAAGAGAAAUAGACAGAGAAAAAUCCCUGCAAUAGUUGAGAAGCUCAGGACUCAAAGCAGAGACGGAGGGAUUUUUAAUUGCAGCACAAGACCAAAGUGUCCUCACCAGAAAUUACCUAAAACAUAUAAUGAAAUGAAAUAUUAC